rnacentral:lncRNA from 1 species
CAGUGUUUUAUGUAAACAUGGUACUCAUUUAAGCCUACAUUAUUAUUCAUGGGAAUUAUUUUUAAAAAUUACUGUUAUAUCUGUAACUACUGUUCUAAACUUUAAUCUACUUGCAUCUUCAAGGUAAGGACAAAUCAUAAAGCCUACUCUAAAUGCUUUUAAAGCAACAGGGAUCAGUAAGAAAGAGCACAAAGAGGGUUAUGAGCAAAGGAUCUAGAAAAAGAUGGCAAACUCAAGAAACUGAUGCAUAGAGAGUAGGAAUUUAAAACCUCAACUCAACUAUUAUAAAGGCAAAAUGGCAGUAGUGACAAAUUUGGGGGCUAAUUCUUUCCAAUCUAAUUCUGGAGUUGGCAAACUUUUCUGUCAAGUGCCAGAUAAAAAAUAUUUUCAGGCUUUGUAGGCCAUGUGGUAUCUGUCACAAGUACUCAAUUUGCCAUUACAGUAGAAAGUAGCCAUAAACAACACCUAAAUGAAUAGGUGUGGCCCUAUUCCACUGUCACUUUCUUUACACAAACAGGUGGCCUCAGGAUUUGGCCCGGGGGCUGUAGUCUGAUGAACCUUGAUCUAAUUCAUAAGUCUUAGGGAUAUAUUUUGCUAAGGGGCAUCCUCUCAAACUUAGGGAUUUACCUGACUUAAUUACUUGUCCCUUUUCUAAAUCUCAGCAACCAAAAUGGUUCAAUAUUUUGCACUCUUUCCCAUAUGGUAUAAGUGAAGAGCCCCAUUUUCAAAGACUGAGUUCAAGAAAGACUUAUCUGUUAUUCCUUGAACUAAUAAGUACACAGAUAAGGAGAAGGGCAUUUGAGGAAGAGAAAAAAAUCACAUCUGUUGUAUCUGAGAAAACAGAAACUUCCAGGAUUCCAACUCCUUCCUAAUUAAAUGCCUUUCCACUGUGAUUAAGAAGAGUUUUGUCUUUGUUUAAUUUCCUUUCCAUUACCCAUUGCUUUCAUUUCUUUAAACUAAAUCUUCUAGUCAAACAAAAUUUAUUUCUUGCCUAAAGACUAUUCAGCUAUUAAGGACGAAGUUGACUGCUUCACUCUUCCACCAGACCACGUCCAACCAAGGCCAGAUUUCAGCUAUGAAGUUAGGAGGAAAGUGGUUUAUUUCUAUCGUCAUACCAUCUUUGGGAAUCCCUGUUUCAAUGAUGCAGAAGGAUCUGGAAACAUUAAAAAAUACUAAAAAACAAAAUAAAAAAACUUUCCUUAAUUGCUAUCUCCCUUCUUUUCCACUCUUUAUCCUUGAGGAACUAAUUUAUUUUUAUGUAUUCAAAGUUAGAUUCAACCUUCUGGUAUAAUGAAAUGGGGUGGGGGUAUUUUGCAACUUACAUAAAAUAAAACAACUCAGUUCAGAGGUAAAUAUGGUUCUGAGUAAAGAGAGAACAAGUCAUUAGAAAGAGCCUUUCUGCCUAAGUACAGUGUUUCUGUUCAUGCCAAUGCUAUAUUUUAUACUGGUAUCAGAGUUCAGAGAGAAUAAAAGGUACCUCUUAGAAUGAAAGUAGAUUAUAUAUUGCCAUCUCUCUUCUUUUGCUGAGAAUAUUAGGUAGCUCCUUUGCUAUUAAGUGCCACUCAAUGCAUGAAAACAGUCCCAGUGUUUGCUAUUUCAUGGCAUUAAAGUACUUAAUGAUGAUUUAGCUCUCAUUGCUAACGCAGUUCCCUUCACAAGGUGACAUGUGCAAGUUAAGAUUUGGUAAUGACUUUUCAGCAUUAGCUAAAGUCCAUUUAGUAUAUCCUUAAGAGAGGUAUCCUCUGUGCACACACCAACAUAUCUAUUCAUUAGUGUAGAUAGAACACUACUAACUCCUAUGACCUACAGUGACGUCAGCUAAGAACUAGGACAAUGUCACAGUGAACCUGGAUAAGAAACUUGGAUAGUUACUUAGAAUAAUAACACCUCAUAUAACUAAAAUGGGGAAAUUGCUUUCAGAAACUUUAAUUUGUUGAAGAGCUAGCCUGGCUUGAAUCUUCAUGAAUUUCAUGGCUCUGGGCCAGACCAAUUAAGAGGAAAAAACCAGCAAAGAGGAUUGUGCUGAUGUGGUCCUAGACGACGGGGGAGCACUCUAUUCACAGUAUCAAUGCAGCAAAAACCUAUUAGAAGUGAAUGAAAACGGAGGGGGAACCCAACAAACACUCAUGGCAUUUCCACAUCUAUGAGACAGUCCCUACGUCAUUUAAAAUGUUUGUUGCUAACCGUGGAUGGAGUACUGACAAAUGCUGCAAAGUUUCUCUUUACAGAAAUUACUGCACUUCACCUUCACAAUUUGGUAAUAGUUUUAAAAAGCUCUAUUUUCUCACAUAAAAAUCUAAGAAACUAACACAGCAAUAAAGAACUUUCCAGUAUACUACUUCCCAAAAGUAGGAUGGACUUAAAAUUUUUUGGUAGGCUUAAAAGCUCCAUCUAAAGCAGCAUAUUCUGUACUUCUCACCUCCCUGCCUAUUUACUAACGGCAAAAUCUGUCCACUGAAAGCCUUGAUUACCAAAUGUUUCCCUAAAGAUUUUAGUCUAAUUUCAACUCCACUUUUUCUAUGCCACAGAACACAGCUGAUCCCAACAUGGCCUAGGCGACAGUUUUUAUCCUGUUUUGUCGUUGCCCAACUAAAGAGGAGAAUGUCCCAGUCUGUUUUGUAAAGACAAAAUACAGCUUCAACACUACAUUUAAGGGUAGGUUCUUAUCAAAUGUAGCAUCAUUACAUUCCUAUUAAAAUAUGCAUUUUAAUGUUUUUCCACGAGAGAAAAUAACCAUUCUCCAGUGAUAUGGUGCAGCUGUAUGUAUAUGUACAAUUCUCAGAUUGCUUAAGAGUGACCCUUUGCAUUCGAAAUUCCUAUCAUCAAAGAAAUGCCGUUCUUUUCUACCCAACCUUUCCACAUACCAGAAACUACUAUCAGGAAGGGAGCACACUGCUAACAUUCUCACAAAUGGCUCACCAGUGCUGGCGUGACCAGCCCCUCUCCCAAAUCUCUUUUACAAUCAUCUACGCCUCUGCACCAAAAGAGUUUCUUAAACCACUACAUAUUUAAAUACUCUUUAAAAAAAUUAGAGAUCAAUUAAGAGAAGAUAGAGAUUUUUCUCUUUUCUAUUUGCACUGUAACUUGUAAGCAUCUACUUGCCUGCAUCCUUUAAUAAUCCUCCUUCAUUCUCUGCAUGCAAAACAGGGCAUCUAAGGCUCUACAAGUUUGGUAAGUUCUCUCUGACUCUCAGUGCUGGAUUAAGAAUCUCAGAAAUACCCAGAAUUACCAAAAAGGUCCCUUGAAGUUUUAAAAAUCUUAGGAAUGAUUAAGUAACCAAACCUGAUCAAAAUUGAUGCCUUGAUCAAUUUAUUGCAACACGAUUGUGCAUGAUGUUUUCUG